rnacentral:rRNA from 1 species
CAACUUUCAGCAACGGAUCUCUUGGCUCUCGCAUCGAUGAAGAACGCAGCGAAAUGCGAUAAGUAAUGUGAAUUGCAGAAUUCAGUGAAUCAUCGAAUCUUUGAACGCACCUUGCGCUCCUUGGUAUUCCGAGGAGCAUGCCUGUUUGAGUGUCAUGAAAUUC